AACCUUUAGCCAAACAAAUAUUAAAGGCAACGCCUGCCCAGUGAACAAUUAAACGGCCGCGGUACCCUAACCGUGCAAAGGUAGCAUAAUCAUUUGUCUAUUAAUUGUAGACUCGUAUGAAAGGCAAAAUGAGGGUCCGUCUGUCUCUUACAAUAAAUCAAUUAAACUGAUCUCCUAGUAAAAAAGCUAGAAUCCACACACAAGACCAAAAGACCCUGUGAAGCUUAAACUAAACUAUUAAACCCUAUAAUACCUACUUUCGGUUGGGGCGACCUUGGAAAAAAAAAGAACUUCCAAACACAUGACCACACUCAUCAUUCACGGCCCACAAGCCUUACAAUAGACCCAGUACAGCUGAUAAUUGAACCAAGUUACUCCAGGGAUAACAGCGCUAUCUUCUUCAAGAGUCCAUAUCAAAAAGAAGGUUUACGACCUCGAUGUUGGAUCAGGACAUCCUAGUGGUGCAACCGCUAUUAAGGGUUCGUUUGUUCAACGAUUAAUAGUCCU
rnacentral:rRNA from 1 species